rnacentral:piRNA from 1 species
UGGUUUCUAGAGAGCUGCAUCUUAU